UUUUUUUUCAAGAGAAUAUUAAAUCAUCUAUUGAUUACACAUGAUAAUGGAUGAUACACAAGCUUUAAUCCCAUCUAUAAUUUUAUCUGAUACCAUAAUUCAAUUUAGAUAUAUUGCAUAGGAUGUGCUAACAAUCGUAUUAAUAACCAAAUAAACUCCAGGACUUUGCUUGGGUGACCCUUUUAAUGGUGACCUCCAGGUCACAACACAUUAACUGUCAGUUCAACCACACCAAUAGAUCUGAAGAGCACAUGUC